CAAGUGGUGGAGCAGAAGUGCGACAUCACUUACGUGAUCGGCCCUUGCUCUGGAGCAGGAGGGUGACGCAUGCUCCACGUGAACAUGCUGAAUCCCUACCAUGAGCGAACAGAGGAGGUGGCAGUGAUCUGUGCCCCUGCCUCUGAGGUUUUCGACAACCUGGGAAGGGAGAAUUUGUCGACAUUGUCUCCCUCCUGCCAAUGGAGGAGGCUCCUCCAGUGGUGGAGAAAGACGGCAAGGAAUCGGAGAUGGAGAAAGAACAGGACUUUCAG